rnacentral:rRNA from 1 species
AAAAACAUGUCUUUUUGUUAUUUAUUUAAGGUCGGGCCUGCCCAAUGAUUUAUUAAAUGGCCGCAGUAUUUUGACUGUGCAAAGGUAGCAUAAUCAUUAGUUUCCUAAUUAGGAGCUGGAAUGAAGGGUUUGAUGAGGAAUGAGCUGUCUCUAUUUUAUUUUGAUAUAAUUUUAUUUUUGAGUGAAAAAGCUUAAAUUUGAUACAAAGACGAGAAGACCCUAUAGAGUUUAACAAUAUUUUUGCUUGGAUAUUAGGAUGUUUUCUUUUUACUAGGUUUAUUUAGUGUUUUGUUGGGGUGAUGAAAAAAUUUGUUGAACUUUUUAAUAUUGUUACGUGGAUUGGCGGCUUGAUGAUCCUUUGUUUUGGAUUAUAAGAUUAAAUUACCUUAGGGAUAACAGCGUAAUUUUUCUUGAAAGUUCUUAUUGACGGAAAAGUUUGCGACCUCGAUGUUGGAUUAAAAUUAACUGUUGGUGUAGCAGCUAAUAGGUUGGGUCUGUUCGACCUUUAAAAUUUUACAUGAUCU